rnacentral:lncRNA from 1 species
AAAAAAAAGAUGACACAGUAAUAAAAAAAAUAUUGAAAUAGGAAAACAUUGUAAUAUAUACACUGAUAUACAUGUAGAAAAUAUCUGACGAUGUUGGUGUUUACUCUAGUGUUUACUUAUGUAUGAGGAAACAAAUAUAAUUUAACACAAAGAAAACGGUGUAGGUCGUGACUAAUUAGACACGCCCUCUUAAGUCAGCGGGUCCAUAACAGGAUAGGAAAAAAGCC